AAAACUCACCAGGUCAGGUACACGGUAAGGAUUGACGGACUGAAGGUCUCUUUCUCGAUUCCGUGGAAAGUGGUGCAUGGCCGUUUUUGGUUGGUGGAUCGAUCCGUCUGGUUAAUUCCGUUAACGAACGAGACCUCGGCACUCCGAAUAGCGCGGCGGACGUCGCGGCCUCCGGGCCGUCUUCCGCGCGAGCUUCUUAGAGGGACCGUCCCCCGCCGGGGAAGGAGGUGCGAGGCAACGACAGGUCUGUGAUGCCCUUAGAUGUUCUGGGCCGCACGCGCAUUACACUGACGCGUCCAACGGGUGACUCCCGACCCGAAGGGGCCGGGGAAUCCGCAAGGCGCGUCGUGAUGGGGAUUGAACGUUGCAAUUGUUGUUCACGAACGAGGAAUUCCUAGUAGGCGCGGGUCAUCAACCCGCGCCGAUUACGUCCCUGCCC
rnacentral:rRNA from 1 species